rnacentral:lncRNA from 1 species
GUCUCUAGUUUAUAGUUUCCUAAAAGAGCGUUAUGCAUACUCUAUCCCAAUAGGACUCUUACUUGCUACGAACAUGUGAUGGAGAAAUCACUUCAAACAGCGACUGGAGGGUCAUAAACUCUCUGUGCUGCUGCAAUAUUAUUGAAAGAAGCGGUUUUCCCUGCUCAUGUCAUCUCCUGUGCACUUUGAUCUGGGUGAAGUGGCCUGCAGUUGUACAGCAAGGUAAUGGGAUAGCACUAAACCAAGGAGAUCACAUUAGUCACCAAGGUAGAAUAUGAUCUCUUUUCAGACUGUAAGUACUUAUUUUUUCUUUGAUAC